rnacentral:rRNA from 1 species
CCCUUAGAUGUUCUGGGCCGCACGCGUGCUACACUGAGUGGAUCAGCGGGUCAGGUUGCGCGAAAGUGUUUCCUAAUCUUGAAAUCCGCUCGUGAUGGGGAUUGACGGUUGCAAUUUUCCGUCAUGAACGAGGAAUACCUUGUAAGCGCGGGUCAUCGUCCCGCGCUGAAUACGUCCCUGCCCUUUGUACACACCGCCCGUCGCUCCUACCGAUUGAGUGGUCCGGUGAGGCUUUGGGAUCUGAGCGGAAAGAGCGUUUCGCUGUUUCUGCUCGGAAAACUCAGUCGAACCUUAUCAUUUAGAGGAAGGAGAAGUCGUAACA